UACAUGCAGUCGAGCGACAGACAAGGAGCUUGCUCCUUUGACGUUAGCGGCGGACGGGUGAGUAACACGUGGGUAACCUACCUAUAAGACUGGGAUAACUUCGGGAAACCGGAGCUAAUACCGGAUAAUAUUUCGAACCGCAUGGUUCGAUAGUGAAAGAUGGUUUUGCUAUCACUUAUAGAUGGACCCGCGCCGUAUUAGCUAGUUGGUAAGGUAACGGCUUACCAAGGCGACGAUACGUAGCCGACCUGAGAGGGUGAUCGGCCACACUGGAACUGAGACACGGUCCAGACUCCUACGGGAGGCAGCAGUAGGGAAUCUUCCGCAAUGGGCGAAAGCCUGACGGAGCAACGCCGCGUGAGUGAUGAAGGUCUUCGGAUCGUAAAACUCUGUUAUUAGGGAAGAACAUACGUGUAAGUAACUGUGCACGUCUUGACGGUACCUAAUCAGAAAGCCACGGCUAACUACGUGCCAGCAGCCGCGGUAAUACGUAGGUGGCAAGCGUUAUCCGGAAUUAUUGGGCGUAAAGCGCGCGUAGGCGGUUUUUUAAGUCUGAUGUGAAAGCCCACGGCUCAACCGUGGAGGGUCAUUGGAAACUGGAAAACUUGAGUGCAGAAGAGGAAAGUGGAAUUCCAUGUGUAGCGGUGAAAUGCGCAGAGAUAUGGAGGAACACCAGUGGCGAAGGCGACUUUCUGGUCUGUAACUGACGCUGAUGUGCGAAAGCGUGGGGAUCAAACAGGAUUAGAUACCCUGGUAGUCCACGCCGUAAACGAUGAGUGCUAAGUGUUAGGGGGUUUCCGCCCCUUAGUGCUGCAGCUAACGCAUUAAGCACUCCGCCUGGGGAGUACGACCGCAAGGUUGAAACUCAAGGAAUUGACGGGGACCCGCACAAGCGGUGGAGCAUGUGGGUUUAAUUCGAAGCAACGCGAAGAACCUUACCAAAUCUUGACAUCCUUUGACAACUCUAGAGAUAGAGCUUUCCCCUUCGGGGGACAAAGUGACAGGUGGUGCAUGGUUGUCGUCAGCUCGUGUCGUGAGAUGUUGGGUUAAGUCCCGCAACGAGCGCAACCCUUAAGCUUAGUUGCCAUCAUUAAGUUGGGCACUCUAAGUUGACUGCCGGUGACAAACCGGAGGAAGGUGGGGAUGACGUCAAAUCAUCAUGCCCCUUAUGAUUUGGGCUACACACGUGCUACAAUGGACAAUACAAAGGGCAGCGAAACCGCGAGGUCAAGCAAAUCCCAUAAAGUUGUUCUCAGUUCGGAUUGUAGUCUGCAACUCGACUACAUGAAGCUGGAAUCGCUAGUAAUCGUAGAUCAGCAUGCUACGGUGAAUACGUUCCCGGGUCUUGUACACACCGCCCGUCACACCACGAGAGUUUGUAACACCCGAAGCCGGUGGAGUAACCAUUUGGAGCUAGCCGUCGAAGGUGGGACAAAUGAUUGGGGUGAAGU
rnacentral:rRNA from 1 species